AUACGUAGGGGGCGAGCGUUGUCCGGAAUGAUUGGGCGUAAAGGGCGCGUAGGCGGCCCGGUAAGUCUGGAGUGAAAGUCCUGUUUUUAAGAUGGGAAUUGCUUUGGAUACUGUCGGGCUUGAGUGCAGGAGAGGUAAGUGGAAUUCCCAGUGUAGCGGUGAAAUGCGUAGAGAUUGGGAGGAACACCAGUGGCGAAGGCGACUUACUGGACUGUAACUGACGCUUAGGCGCGAAAGUGUGGGGAGCAAACAGGAUUAGAUACCCUGGUAGUCCACACCGUAAACGAUGAAUGCUAGGUGUAGGGGGUAUCGACCCCUUCUGUGCCGCAGUCAACACAAUAAGCAUUCCGCCUGGGGAGUACGGCCGCAAGGUUGAAACUCAAAUGAAUUGACGGGG
rnacentral:rRNA from 1 species